rnacentral:rRNA from 1 species
GACGAACGCUGGCGGCGUGCUUAACACAUGCAAGUCGAACGGAAAGGCCCUGCUUUUGUGGGGUGCUCGAGUGGCGAACGGGUGAGUAACACGUGAGUAACCUGCCCUUGACUUUGGGAUAACUUCAGGAAACUGGGGCUAAUACCGGAUAGGAGCUCCUGCUGCAUGGUGGGGGUUGGAAAGUUUCGGCGGUUGGGGAUGGACUCGCGGCUUAUCAGCUUGUUGGUGGGGUAGUGGCUUACCAAGGCUUUGACGGGUAGCCGGCCUGAGAGGGUGACCGGCCACAUUGGGACUGAGAUACGGCCCAGACUCCUACGGGAGGCAGCAGUGGGGAAUAUUGCACAAUGGGCGGAAGCCUGAUGCAGCAACGCCGCGUGCGGGAUGGCGGCCUUCGGGUUGUAAACCGCUUUCGCCUGUGACGAAGCGUGAGUGACGGUAAUGGGUAAAGAAGCACCGGCUAACUACGUGCCAGCAGCCGCGGUGAUACGUAGGCUGCGAGCGUUGUCCGGAUUUAUUGGGCGUAAAGGGCUCGUAGGUGGUUGAUCGCGUCGGAAGUGUAAUCUUGGGGCUUAACCCUGAGCGUGCUUUCGAUACGGGUUGACUUGAGGAAGGUAGGGGAGAAUGGAAUUCCUGGUGGAGCGGUGGAAUGCGCAGAUAUCAGGAGGAACACCAGUGGCGAAGGCGGUUCUCUGGGCCUUUCCUGACGCUGAGGAGCGAAAGCGUGGGGAGCGAACAGGCUUAGAUACCCUGGUAGUCCACGCUGUAAACGGUGGGUACUAGGUGUGGGGUCCAUUCCACGGGUUCCGUGCCGUAGCUAACGCUUUAAGUACCCCGCCUGGGGAGUACGGCCGCAAGGCUAAAACUCAAAGGAAUUGACGGGGCCCCGCACAAGCGGCGGAGCAUGCGGAUUAAUUCGAUGCAACGCGUAGAACCUUACCUGGGUUUGACAUGGAUCGGGAGUGCUCAGAGAUGGGUGUGCCUCUUUUGGGGUCGGUUCACAGGUGGUGCAUGGCUGUCGUCAGCUCGUGUCGUGAGAUGUUGGGUUAAGUCCCGCAACGAGCGCAACCCUUGUUCACUGUUGCCAGCACGUUAUGGUGGGGACUCAGUGGAGACCGCCGGGGUCAACUCGGAGGAAGGUGGGGAUGACGUCAAGUCGUCAUGCCCCUUAUGUCCAGGGCUUCACGCAUGCUACAAUGGCUGGUACAGAGAGUGGCGAGCCUGUGAGGGUGAGCGAAUCUCGGAAAGCCGGUCUCAGUUCGGAUUGGGGUCUGCAACUCGACCUCAUGAAGUCGGAGUCGCUAGUAAUCGCAGAUCAGCAACGCUGCGGUGAAUACGUUCCCGGG